rnacentral:tRNA from 1 species
GUCCCCGUAGUUCAACUGGACAGAACAGCACCUUCCUAAGGUGCAUGUUGCAGGUUCGACUCCUGCCGGGGACA